rnacentral:rRNA from 1 species
CCUACGGGUGGCUGCAGUGGGGAAUUUUGGACAAUGGGCGCAAGCCUGAUCCAGCCAUGCCGCGUGCAGGAUGAAGGCCUUCGGGUUGUAAACUGCUUUUGUACGGAACGAAAAGGUGCCUUCUAAUAAAGGGCGCUCAUGACGGUACCGUAAGAAUAAGCACCGGCUAACUACGUGCCAGCAGCCGCGGUAAUACGGACGGUGCAAGCGUUAGUCGGAAGUACUGGGCGUAUAUCGUAAGCAGGCGGUGAAUGCCCCGGGCUCAACCUGGGAACUGCCUUUGUGACUGCAAGGCUGGAGUGCGGCAGAGGGGGAUGGAAUUCCGCGUGUAGCAGUGAAAUGCGUAGAUAUGCGGAGGAACACCGAUGGCGAAGGCAAUCCCCUGGGCCUGCACUGACGCUCAUGCACGAAAGCGUGGGGAGCAAACAGGAUUAGAUACCCCUGUAGUC